CCUACGGGUGGCAGCAGUGAGGAAUAUUGGUCAAUGGACGGAAGUCUGAACCAGCCAUGCCGCGUGAAGGAAGACGGCGCUAAGAGUUGUAAACUGCUUUUGUACAAGGAUAAACGUGAAAACGUGUAUUCAGCUGAGAGUACUGUAAGAAUAAGGAUCGGCUAACUCCGUGCCAGCAGCCGCGGUAAUGCGGAGGAUCCAAGCGUUAUCCGGAUUUAUUGGGUGUAAAGGGUGCGUAGGUGGAUCGAAAAGUUAGAGGUGAAAUGUCCGAGAGUAACCCGGGAACUGCCGUUGAUACUGUCGGUCUAGAGAGGAGGUGCGGUAGGCGGAAUGUGUGGUGUAGCGGUGAAAUGCUUAGAGAUCAUACAGAACACCGAUUGCGAAGGCAGCUUACCAA
rnacentral:rRNA from 1 species